rnacentral:lncRNA from 1 species
AAAUUGUAUGCUGAGGUUGCUAAGAUCUACGGUAAGAACAAAUCUUCUAUUUGUGAAAUUGUGAAGAAGGAAAAAGAAGUUCAUGCUAGUUUUGCUGUUGCACCUCAAAUAUGUAUGUAUAGGAAAAAACAGUAUAUGUAGGAUUCAGUAUUAUCUGCGGUUUCAGGCAUCCACUGAGUGUCUUGGAACGUAUCCUCCGUGGGUAAGGGGGACUACCGCAUCUCUGUGCCUCUGGCCCAGCACAUCAGACCUGCGUGUAACUCAGCCCAUUGCACCAUUCUCCACUUGGACUAUGGGAGAUGGCUCCUCAAAAUCUGGAGAUCACCUGAGCCCUUAAAUGAGAUUAGGCCCUUCCUGAAGAGAGAUUCCAAACCUGAGAGAUCCUUCUGCUGGUCUUGAGGAAGUAAGCUGCCACGAUGUGAGAGGGCCUGUGGAUGGGCCAUGAGCGGGGAGCUGAGCGUGACCUCUAGGAGCAGAGAGCAGCCUCUAACUGAUGACGUCCAGUGGGCAAGAAAGCUGGGACCACAGUCCUGCAGUUGCAAGGAACUGAAUUUGGCCAAGAACUAUGUGCACUUGGAAGUAGACCCUGCACUCCAGAAGGAAAUGCUCCUCAGCCAAAAGCUUAUGAGAGACCCUGCCCAGACUUCUGACCUAUAGAAACUGUAAGAUAAUAA